CUCCCAGUAACGGCGAGUGAACGGAGAUUAGCCCGUCACCGAAGUCCGGUGCAUUUGCAUACAGGACAAUGUGGUGUUGAAACAUGUGCCAAGGGUCUGCGUGCCUGCCCGAAGUCCAACUCCGAUUGUGGCUUGGAUAUUGCCCAGAGCGGGUGAAAGGCCCGUACGGGUAGGCUGUUGAUCGCGAACGCGGCCCUUGGAUGCGCAUGCUUUCGAGUCGGAUUGCUUGAGAAUGCAGUCCAAAGUGGGUGGUAAACUCCAUCCAAGGCUAAAUACUGGCACGAGUCCGAUAGUAGACAAGUACCGUGAGGGAAAGUUGAAAAGUACUCUGAAGAGAGAGUAAAUAGUACGUGAAACCGAUUGCAGGGAAGCUGGUGGAGUCAAGCUUCAUGCCUGAUGAAUUAUUGCUCGGAGUUUGCUGGUGUGUUGGGCAUGGUACCGGUUAGCUUGGAAAGAGUUGUGCACACUCGUGUGUAUCAAGUCGGCCCGGGCAUGGUUGAUUGAGCCGGUGCUAGUGUUCUGCUCUGAGCGAUCUAUUUGUCCUGGCAUAGAUCAUGGUCGAUAGCGUGUGAUUUACGUGCUGUCCGACUGUCAAACUGUGCUUUGGUGGGCCCUCGGCUUGCCGGGUGCAGGAUGGCAGGUGGUCUCCCUGGGCUUUGAGUCCAUGGAUGCUUAAGCUGGUCUCGACCGGCUGACAGUCGGGCAGUAUCGUCGCUAUUGCAACUGUGUGGUGUACGGUUCAUGGACUGUGCGCCGCUCAGAACCGUGAUUCUGAGGUAGACCUUCCACCCGACCCGUCUUG
rnacentral:rRNA from 1 species